CUACGGGCGGCAGCAGUGAGGAAUAUUGCACAAUGGGGGGAACCCUGAUGCAGCAACGCCGCGUGGAGGAUGACGCAUUUCGGUGUGUAAACUCCUUUUAUAUGUCAAGAAAAUGACGGUAGCAUAUGAAUAAGCACCGGCUAACUCCGUGCCAGCAGCCGCGGUAAUACGGAGGGUGCAAGCGUUACUCGGAAUCACUGGGCGUAAAGGACGCGUAGGCGGGUUGGAAAGUCAGGUGUGAAAUCCUACAGCUUAACUGUAGAACUGCACUUGAAACUUCUAAUCUAGAGUAUGGGAGGGGGAGAUGGAAUUAGUGGUGUAGGGGUAAAAUCCGCAGAUAUCACUAGGAAUACCUAAAGCGAAGGCGAUCUCCUGGAACAUUACUGACGCUAAGGCGUGAAAUCGUGGGGAGCAAACAGGAUUAGAUACCCUCGUAGUC
rnacentral:rRNA from 1 species